rnacentral:rRNA from 1 species
GACGAACGCUGGCGGCGUGCCUAAUACAUGCAAGUAGGACGCAGUUGCGAACGGGUGAGUAACGCGUAGGUAACUACCUAUUAGAGGGGGAUAACUAUUGGAAACGAUAGCUAAUACCGCAUACUAGUUGAUGGACCUGCGUUGUAUUAGCUAGUAGGUGGGGUAAUGGCCUAACUAGGCAACGAUACAUAGCCGACCUGAGAGGGUGAACGGACAACCUGGGACUGAGACUCGGCCCAGACUCCUACGGGGGGCAGCAGUAGGGACUCUUCGGAAAUGGGGCGAAACCUGACCGAGCAACGCCGCGGGAGUGAAGAAGGUUUUCGGAUCGGAAAGCUCUGUUGUUAAGGAAGCGGUACUUAACCAGAAAGGGACGGCUAACUACGUGCCAGCAGCCGCGGUAAUAC